CGAGAAUUAAUUAGAAAACCUUAAGACAGUGCCUGGCAUUGUAGUAAGGAUUAUGUAAUUGCUGAAUAUAAAAGUGAAAUUCAUGGAUCUGUCCCAGAAGUAUUCAUUACAUGCCUACCAAAGGGCAGGCACUGCGGGCUGCUCUGGAUGACAAGGCGUCUGCCCUCAUGGAGCCAACAUUCUGGUUGGAGAAAGGAGACGAUAAAAAGGUGAAAUAUUAAGAAGACAAGAUUACUUCAAACACUGAUCGUUCUCCUGGAGAAAAUAAACUGGGUGAUGAAAUGAAAUCUGAGGCGAGCUUAACAUGAUAAAGACAGCUGCUAUCGUCUCCACACAACCUGUUUUUCAAUGAUUACAGUGAAAAUCCCUUAAGGUAACUCAUUGUUCUGGAUUGUCAUGAACUCAGUGUGAUCUGCGGUGCCUGAAUGAUUUGCUCACCCCUACGGCCAGGGGGAUAGGUCAGUGUCACAGGAGCACUAUGGAGAGAAUGGCGAUGAAGGGCUUUCCCAAAGGAAAGUUGAAGUGUUCCCAGCAGAACAAAAGGGGAUGGAUUCUGAGCAGGUCCAGGGAGAGAGCAUCUCAUUGGCCUGGCUUAUAUCACCUUCUACCCACAGAACGCUCUGGGGCAAGGAGAGGGGUUAUCUGAUGAUCUCCAUGACUCUAUAAUAGGAAGCAGAAGCUGCUUCUCACCAAGAUGCACACAAUGGGAAAAGGCAAACUUCAAGGUGGUAUGAGAAAAGAGCAGAACUACUGCACAGCCAUUCCUUGGUAUCCGAUGCUGGCAAAAGACUUAUGAGAUCUCAUGAACAGCUAGUAAGUAGUGGGACAAGACUCCAAAUCAAGCACUUCUCCAAUAUGAGUGUGAGUUGAAUAGAACAACAGCUUUGCCUUUCCUACACUUGUUUCCAGAGCAUCUUAAGAAAUUGACCCAUAGCAAGAACUCUGAAUAUUCAUUAAAUGUUGAAGUUGCAGAUUGAAUCCAGACCACGAAAAUAAGCACUACAUCAGAUAUCUAGAUGAAAUGAAAAUCAAGCCACUAUCCCAUGGAUACUGUAAUCCGUUUCCCAGUUCUUUCUUUUUUGCAUUCAUGUUUAUGAGUGUGGGCAUUGUGUAUCUGUGUGUGUCAGUAUUAAUUGUGUACUGAUUUAAUGAAAUUCCAUGUCUGUGGGAGAACACUCAGAGUACUUUCUCCAGCCUUACUAGCAUGGAGUCUGAAAAUAUUUAAAGCCCUAAAUGUCUUUGAAAAUUAUUUUUAAAACAACAUAUAAAGGUGAUUAAAAAUAUGAGCUCUUGAUCUGGCAGCAUAGGUUAAAAUCUCUAUAAAUUCUAAUUUUCUAGUUACUAUAUCUCUUCUUAUGUUUCUCAUACACAUAUAAGCAUUUACUUUUCUUUGAUUACAAUGUUUAUAUGUUUCAUUUCAUUUCUAAUUUUACUGGUUUCAGUUUCCAGUUGAAUGUUGAAUAGAAGCAAUAAUAGCUAGAAUCAUUGUCCUGUCCUUGAUUUUAAAGGCAAUGCUUUCAAAUAAAUUACAAUAGUUGCUUUAUAUUAUUAUUAGAUUUCUAUUACUAACUGUACUGGUUGUCAAUUUAUUUCCUCUCAGCUCCAAGUACAUACCUUAUUGCCUACUCUGUGAAAAUGGAGAUGGGCCCUUUAUAUAUUUUUGCUUUGACAGUUGGCAUGUUGCUAAACUUUGACAGUAGAGGGCAAUAAAGAUAACAUGGGUUAUCCCUUCUGGUGAGGAGCGCUCAUUGGGCAUACUCCUGCAGCUCACUGGGGUUCUCCAGUGCCAGCUCCUUCAGUACAGGUAGCUUUUCCAGUGUCCAGCUCUUGAAGCACAAUAGCUUCUCCAGGGCAAGGCUCCUGUAGCACAGGCAGCUUCUCUAACAUGAGGCUCCUGGGGUACGUGCAGCUUCCCAGCAUCCAGCUCCUGCAGCACAGGCUGCUUCUUCAGCUCCAGGAUCCAGCAGUGCAUGGAGGUCAGCAGCAACCAGUGGCUAGUGGCAUCCAUGGGCAGCCACCUUGCAUUGUUUCAUUGCAUAGUUCCUCCAGCAAGACAUCCCUUCAAGAAUGGCUUUCCUCAAAGUCCUAGAGUAGGCUUUUGGCAAUUUCUAGAGGGCAGAUUUCCAGCAAAUUCCACUGGUAUAACACUACAAUAACUUCUCAGCCCUCUUUUUAAGGAAAUCUGGAUCUCAGUUGGGGAUAGAAGGAGGAGGGUCUCUUUUGGGCACUGUAGCUCAACCCUAGAAGCAAUGCUGCUUCUUAUAUAUGCUACAUUCUUUAGCAUUCUCUUUAUUUCUCACUAAUCAAUCCCUCACUUAUCCCAAUAGUUUAUUAUAGUUAAAAAUUCUUUGUAUUAAACUUCCCCGGUUCAAAUUGCUGUGUGGUUUCUGUCUCCUGAUUAGAUCCUGACUGAUAGAUCAGGUUAAGUAAAUUUUCUCCUAUAAUUAUUUUGAUAAAAUUUUUAUUGUAAAUAUUAUUAUGAAUGGACUCUGAAUUUAAUCAAAGGCAUUUUCUACACAGAUUGAGAUAAUUAUUUUUUAAAUUUGAUAAUGUGGUGAUAUAUAUUAAUUUUUUAAAAAAUAUGAAAACAUUCUUUCACUUCUUGGAUAAAUCCAACACAGCCAUAAUUUUUUUUAUGUACUGUUAUCUUUGGUUUGCCAAUAUUUUCCUAGAAUUUUUGUGUGUAUGUACAAUACACACAAGGUUGAGCUGUAAUUUUCCAUUCGUUUGUCCUUACCUGGUAUUAGUUUCAAGCUUAUGCAAACCUCAUGAAAUGUCUUGGAAAGAGUUAGACCGCAAUUAUCACUCCAAUUCCUUUUCUUUCUGGCUGCCUUUUUCCCUUUCCUUGAGCAGCUGCUAUAGAAUCUCUGUUUAUUCUCUCUGCCUUUGCCUUAGAUCUCCAUCACCUUUAAUUUGGGCUAUAACGAAGUCUUCCUCCGUUUCCCAACUGUGUUCUCCCUUACCCAUAUAGCUCUCCGAGUUAACACUCUAAACAUCAGCCUUAGAUAGUGCUCUAUUUUCUUACAUAAUAAUACUCCUGAAAACUUACCAAAAGUAAAUAUGUACAAGCCACCAAUGGAAUUAUGUACUAUAAGGAAAACUUUCUUGCUGAAGGACUAAAAAUUGAUCACAAAUUCCCCAUUGAGAUUCAUCUUUUAUAUAGUCUUUAGCAUGUGUUCUUUCACUUUGUUUUUUUCCUUCCUAAUUCCCCAUGUAGUCAACAGGCUUAGGUUUGAUGAGUCUCUGUGUUCAGCCUAAUGAGUUCCAUCUUUAUCUCAAGUUUAUUAAGUUCAUGAGAUCUUUGCUUGUUAUCACUAAUAGCACUUGAGGGGGGACAAUAUUUCCAUUUAUAAAACAAUAAAAGUAAAAUACAAUAAAACAUAACAUAUAAUUUUUUAUAAUUUCUGUGGUCAAAUGCCAACAUACUUAUAUAUUAUACGGCAAGAACUACAACCAUAAAAGUAACUUAUUACAUGGGAUACAAAUAUGUAAAUUUAGAACAUAAAAGGCAGUUUUAGGGAUUUAAAAUAUAAUUUCUAAAAGUGAGCACAGUUUGAAAAUAUCUAAAUGAUCAAGGGCUCUAUUUACAAAAACUUUUGGUGUUUAUUAUUCCCUUAAAAAUAAGUCUAAACUUUCGAGCGUGUCAUUCAAUACCAUCUGCAACGCUAGCUUACUUUUCAAGCUAGAGCCUUCAGCAUUCUCUUGCUUCCAUUACCCCCAUGUACCAUUCACCAUUGUCUAACAUGCUUGGUUUUCAUGCCUGUUUCUGUACUCAUGACUUGCUCUCAAUCUGGCUUUACCAUCUCAUCUUCUCUUCUUUCAAAGUCACUCUAAUUUUUCCAAGUCUUCUGGAAACACUAACUCCAACAUGAAUCUCUCUUCGCCCUUAACCAUCCCUAGAACAAAUUUGUUUUCUUUUAUGUUUCCAGCAUAUUUUAUUCUUUUGAAACUGUAUCUUUUGAUUGGAGAUAACUUUACCAGUUUAAGGUACAGUAUAAAUCAAGUCUCCUAUUAAUAUUUCAAUUAAAUAGCUUGAGUCAUCAUUUAACCUCUUCCAACAAUUCCCUCUUGCUCCCAGGGUCUACAUUCUAGAACAACUCUGAGAAUAAUAAAAGUUCUAAUAACUGCUGACACUUGCGUAGUACUUACAAUAUGUGUUUUCCAUACAUUGAUGUAUGUGGCUAUGACAACAACCCUGUGAGUAGAUAUUAUUAUAAUGCCUUUUAAUAUAGUAGGAUACUGAGAUAUAGAAAUGUUAAGUAAUUUGCUCAAGGUCACACAGCUGGCCUCUAUGGCCUGGGUGAAUCACUCAGAGCUUUACAGUGAGAGGAGCUAUAAGCAAAAGGUAAAGAAACUGGUUUUGUUAGUAACUGAAAACCAGGUCGGCACAAGCAGCUUUGGGGCCCAGAUGACAUAUUGUGACACAGUAAGAGAAAGAGACUCUCUUCUGACUUCUGAGUGGCUCUCAUCCUGGCCUUAGUGCAAUGAGGACUCAGGAGGAGACAGUGGCUCAAAUACCUUUGAGUGUUCCAUCUGAGCAGCACUGGAAGCCAACAAUCAGCACAUUUAUCAGCCUACUCAUAAAGUACGUAGCAGCGCUGACACAGCGAAGGCUUCAGUUUGGAGGAUAUUGAUGAGAAAAGCACUGGAUGUUAGAAGUGUUGGGGAGAUCUCUCUGGGGAUGUCAGUAACUAGAUGAGACUCAGAUAAACUACAAGUCCUCCAUAAUGAGCAGCUGAGCAAGAGACAAUGAAAUCUGUAUCGUUAUAGGAUGGGAGACUCCCAAGUUCCUGUAGUUUUGUGACAUCUAGUAUGACUUUGGAUACACAGAUGAUUGUAUUAUCUCUCAUCUAUAAUUAUCUUUCAAGAUAUUAUCAUUUCUAUCUCAGGUAUCUAAGGAAGUAAAAUUCAGAGAAAUAACUAACUUACUCAAGACCAGGAUUCUUAUAGGUAGCAGAGCUGGGACAUAAAAACAGCUAAUUCUGACUCUAAUGUUCACAUUCUCUCCACUGUGCAUACUGUCUUCCUGUAAUGGAUUAAAAAAAGAAAGAAGAAAAUUGUAUCUUCUGUUCGACACCAGGAAAAGCAUUCCUUUCUCUAUACUCGGCAUUUCUCAUGACCCAAAAAUUAGAAUUCAUUGAUAAUUUCAUAAAAUGAAGUCCCCAGUGAAGAGUUCUGUCCUCACCUGAGUUAGAUAAACCUCAGUAUGCUGCUGCAAUCUCAUAAUUCUCAAUGUGGUUUCCCUUAGACAAUGUGAUUUCAGAGGUAGCUAUCACUUCUGAUGUGUGAAUAAAUGCAUCAUAUACCACGGUUAUUCACUAUCAGUUCAUAUGGCACACAGAUGAGAGCAGGACCUUCCUUUUCCCACAGGCCAACCUCACAGAAGUACUUUCUUUAACAUUUUCAACAAAAUGUGCCUCUCAAGACAUUAUAUUCACCAUAAAUCUGAACAUUAUCCUACUUAAGAAAUUCAGUGAACCUCUUAUUAAAAAAAUUAAAUUCUAUCUCAAAAGUAGAAAGGAGAAAAGGUGUUAUAAUAUCAUUGAUGGAAAUAUAAAUCAAACAGAGGACUCUAUUGAAUUUGUAUUGAGUUCAUAUUAGUUCUGAUGGAAUUAUUAAUUUUAUUUGUCAUAGGAAAUGUGAUCAUGCAUCAGAUUUAAUUCUGGAUAAUUUACAACACCAUAAUCCAGAGGGAAAAGAAGGAGGAACAUUGCUUAUGGGCAAAGUGAAUGGUUUCACUGAGAACCUGUCUGCUGAUUUUAUGUGGGUCAGGGAAGCAUAUGAUUCAUUUGGGCACCUUGGCUGAAGGUGUGACUCCCCAGGGUGGGCUACUUUAAUCUAUGUCUACUUCUGUUUCUCUAUGAGCCUGCUUGAAUUGAUUUUGUCAAGCUGGUGAAGUGAUGCCAUCCUCCCCUUCCUUGUACUAAAUUCUGACUGGCUAAUAAUCAGCAAAGUUUCAGAAAAUGAAACCCCCAUGGUGGAAUUAAGAAUUUAAAUCUCCAUGCUACACACUUAGUGUUUUGAUUGGAAUGCACGAAUGUAACAGAUUUAUAUAAAUGUAUAAUUUUAUAAACUAUAUGUAUUAGCAGGAGGGGAGGGGAAAGAAAACAACUUUGUCUGGGAGUCACUCUCUUAUAGUUAUGUAAAAGUUUCCGAGCUAACUUCCUGAAGGAAAAUGAAGAAUAUAUUUUGCCAAGAAUGUUUUCCUCCACUAUUUUAAUCCCAAUAAGUUCUAUGUGUCUCAAAAACAAAUUCAUUUUUCUCUAACGUCUUUAAUUUGUUGAUGCUCAUGAUUUUCUCAAUAUUAAUUUGAAUCAAGGUGUGAAAUAAAACAUUAGUUUCAAAAAGA